rnacentral:rRNA from 1 species
ACGCUGGCGGCACGCCUAACACAUGCAAGUCGAACGAAGUAGCAAUACUUAGUGGCAGACGGGUGAGUAACAUGUAGGUAUCUGCCCUUUGGCCUGGAAUAACACGAGGAAACUUGUGCUAAUACCGGAUAAGUCUUUACGGAGAAAGCUUUAUGCACCAUUGGAUGAGCCUGCACUUGAUUAGUUUGUUGGUGGGGUAAUGGCCUACCAAGACUGUGAUCAAUAGCUGAUUUGAGAGGAUGAUCAGCCACAUUGGGACUGAGACACGGCCCAAACUCCUACGGGAGGCAGCAGUGGGGAAUCUUGCACAAUGGAGGAAACUCUGAUGCAGCGAUGCCGCGUGAGUGAAGAAGGCCCUUGGGUUGUAAAGCUCUUUCGUCGGGGAAGAAAAUGACUGUACCCGAAUAAGAAGGUCCGGCUAACUUCGUGCCAGCAGCCGCGGUAAUACGAAGGGACCUAGCGUAGUUCGGAAUUACUGGGCUUAAAGAGUUCGUAGGUGGUUGAAAAAGUUAGUGGUGAAAUCCCAGAGCUUAACUCUGGAACUGCCAUUAAAACUUUUCAGCUAGAGUAUGAUAGAGGAAAGCAGAAUUUCUAGUGUAGAGGUGAAAUUCGUAGAUAUUAGAAAGAAUACCAAUUGCGAAGGCAGCUUUCUGGAUCAUUACUGACACUGAGGAACGAAAGCAUGGGUAGCGAAGAGGAUUAGAUACCCUCGUAGUCCAUGCCGUAAACGAUGUGUGUUAGACGUUGGAAAUUUAUUUUCAGUGUCGCAGGGAAACCGAUAAACACACCGCCUGGGGAGUACGACCGCAAGGUUAAAACUCAAAUGAAUUGACGGGGACCCGCACAAGUAGUGGAGCAUGUGGUUUAAUUCGAAGAUACGCGCAGAACCUUACCAACACUUGACAUGUUCGUCGCGACUCUAAGAGAUUAGAGUUUUCGGUUCGGCCGGACGAAACACAGGUGCUGCAUGGCUGUCGUCAGCUCGUGUCGUGAGAUGUUGGGUUAAGUCCCGCAACGAGCGCAACCCUCACUUUUAGUUGCCAUCAUUAAGUUGGGCACUCUGAAAGAACUGCCAGUGAUAAGCUGGAGGAAGGUGGGGAUGACGUCAAGUCCUCAUGGCCCUUACGUGUUGGGCUACACACGUGCUACAAUGGUAUCUACAACAGGAAGCAAAACUGCGAAGUUAAGCAAAUCCCUAAAAGAUACCUCAGUUCGGAUUGCACUCUGCAACUCGAGUGCAUGAAGCUGGAAUUACUAGUAAUCGUGGAUCAGCGUGCCACGGUGAAUGCGUUCCCGGGUCUUGUACACACCGCCCGUCACACCAUGGGAGUUGGUUCUACCUUAAGGCAAGGUUUAAAACCCUUGACCACGGUAUAGUCAGCGACUGGGGUGAAGUCGUAACAAGGUAGCCGUAGGGGAACCUGCGGCUGGAUUACCUCCUUUCU